CCAACGGUCGCCCAUGGCCGUGGUGACAAGAGAGUUCUGUCAUACCUUCAACAAGUGAAUUACACAUGUGACACUGGUUAUAGUAUAAAUGGAUCAGUAACAGCAACUUGCAGUGCUUACGGAACUUUGACAGAGCCGAAGCCUACCUGCAACAUUGUCAAUUGUACUGUGCCAACGGUCGCCCAUGGCCGUGGUGACAAGAGAGUUCUGUCAUACCUUCAACAAGUGAAUUACACAUGUGACACUGGUUAUAGUAUAAAUGGAUCAGUAACAGCAACUUGCAGUGCUUACGGAACUUUGACAGAGCCGAAGCCUACCUGCAACAUUGUCAAUUGUACUGUGCCAACGGUCGCCCAUGGCCGUGGUGACAAGAGAGUUCUGUCAUACCUUCAACAAGUGAAUUACACAUGUGACACUGGUUAUAGUAUAAAUGGAUCAGUAACAGCAACUUGCAGUGCUUACGGAACUUUGACAGAGCCGAAGCCUACCUGCAACAUUGUCAAUUGUACUGUGCCAACGGUCGCCCAUGGCCGUGGUGACAAGAGAGUUCUGUCAUACCUUCAACAAGUGAAUUACACAUGUGACACUGGUUAUAGUAUAAAUGGAUCAGUAACAGCAACUUG